CUUUUUUACAUAAAAAAAGAGAGACAUCGAUCCCCUCGACGGCUCGAUCCGUCCAUAUUCAUCACACAGCGAUUGCAGGCUCCCAACCCUAGGCCACCAACGCCGACACGCCGGGACCCAUCAUCACGCUCGUCUUUGGUCGAUUGCUCUACGAUUUCUAGGCACUACACACAGUACAUGGACUGAAGCUCAUCACGGAUGCGACCAUCAGGAUCAGGGUUAUGCAUUAUCAUGUGUUCGAGAAACAUGAACUAUGCAUCAGGAAGAAGAUUGCGGAUAAACUGAUACAAUCACAGAGCGGACAUAAGCAUACAUAUUUGAAGGGUGGUACCAGUGCUUCCACCACUUCGAUAAACCCAGAUGAUGAGCUGCCGAUGGUUUCCAUAGAAGAAGAGCAACAAAUUAAUGGGGAUUGGGAAUUUGAUCAGCAAAAAGAAAAUGCCGACAGUUUGAUGAAAGUGAUCGUCAAGAAGAAAUUCUAGAAGCUGAGAAGGAUUUCCAAGUUAAGUAUUAUUUUUGUUGACAUGGCGAUCACUUCUUUGAAGGAUAGAUUUAAAG